AACGAACGCUGGCGGCAUGCCUAACACAUGCAAGUCGAACGAGACCUUCGGGUCUAGUGGCGCACGGGUGCGUAACGCGUGGGAACCUGCCCUUAGGUUCGGAAUAACUCCCCGAAAGGGGUGCUAAUACCGGAUAAUGUCUUCGGACCAAAGAUUUAUCGCCUUUGGAUGGGCCCGCGUUGGAUUAGCUAGUUGGUAGGGUAAAAGCCUACCAAGGCGACGAUCCAUAGCUGGUCUGAGAGGAUGAUCAGCCACACUGGGACUGAGACACGGCCCAGACUCCUACGGGAGGCAGCAGUGGGGAAUAUUGGACAAUGGGCGAGAGCCUGAUCCAGCCAUGCCGCGUGAGUGAUGCAGGCCUUAGGGUUGUAAAGCUCUUUUACCCGGGAUGAUAAUGACAGUACCGGGAGAAUAAGCGCCGGCUAACUCCGUG
rnacentral:rRNA from 1 species